AGUGGAGCAAUCCAUGAGUAAAGUGGCGACCGGGUGAGUAACACGUGACUAACCUACCCUAGAGUGGGGAAUAACCUCGGGAAACCGGGGCUAAUACCGCAUAACAUCGCAGAGGGAAGCUCUUUGCGAUCAAAGGAGUAAUUCGCUCAAGGAGGGGGUCGCGGCUGAUUAGUUAGUUGGUGAGGUAACGGCCCACCAAGACUUAGAUCAGUAGCCGGCCUGAGAGGGCGCACGGCCACACUGGAACUGAAACACGGUCCAGACUCCUACGGGAGGCAGCAGUGGGGAAUUUUGCGCAAUGGGGGAAACCCUGACGCAGCAACGCCGCGUGGAGGAUGAAGUCCCUUGGGAUGUAAACUCCUUUCGAUCGGGAAGAUAAUGACGGUACCUAUAUAAGAAGCCCCGGCUAACUUCGUGCCAGCAGCCGCGGUAAUACGAGGGGGGCAAGCGUUGUUCGGAAUUAUUGGGCGUAAAGGGCGCGUAGGCGGUUUGAUAAGUCUUGUGUGAAAUCUCUGGGCUCAACCCAGAGUCUGCACAGGAAACUGUCGGGCUUGAGUAUGGGAGAGGUGCGUGGAAUUUCCGGUGUAGCGGUGAAAUGCGUAGAUAUCGGAAGGAACACCUGUGGCGAAAGCGGCGCACUGGACCAAAACUGACGCUGAGGCGCGAAAGCUAGGGGAGCAAACAGGAUUAGAUACCCUGGUAGUCCUAGCCCUAAACGAUGAUUGCUUG
rnacentral:rRNA from 1 species